rnacentral:pre_miRNA from 1 species
UUUUUAGUAUAAGUAUGUCCCAAAUAUCACAUGGUACAUAUUUGUACUAAAA